CCCAAACCCCUGUGAACAUACCAUUUUGUUGCCUCGGCGGUGCCUGUUCCGACAGCCCGCCAGAGGACCCCAAACCCAAACUUCCUUGAGUGAGUCUUCUGAGUAACCGAUUAAAUCAAUCAAAACUUUCAACAACGGAUCUCUUGGUUCUGGCAUCGAUGAAGAACGCAGCGAAAUGCGAUAAGUAAUGUGAAUUGCAGAAUUCAGUGAAUCAUCGAAUCUUUGAACGCACAUUGCGCCCGCCAGUAUUCUGGCGGGCAUGCCUGUUCGAGCGUCAUUACAUCCCUCAAGCCCCCGGGCUUGGUGUUGGGGAUCGGCGAGCCUCAGCGCCCGCCGUCCCCUAAAUUUAGUGGCGGUCACGCUGUAACUUCCUCUGCGUAGUAGCACACUUAGCACUGGGAAACAGCGCGGCCACGCCGUAAAACCCCCCAACUUUUGAACGUUUGACCUCGAAUCAGGUAGGACUACCCGCUGAACUUAAGCAUAUCAAUAAGCGGAGGAA
rnacentral:rRNA from 1 species